GAGAUGUAGCUCAGUUGAUAGAGUGCGUGCCUGACAUGCACAAGGCCCUGGGUUCAAUCCCCGGCAUCAUCA
rnacentral:tRNA from 1 species